AACGAACGCUGGCGGCAGGCUUAACACAUGCAAGUCGAGCGCCCCGCAAGGGGAGCGGCAGACGGGUGAGUAACGCGUGGGAAUCUACCCAUCUCUACGGAAUAACGCAUGGAAACGUGUGCUAAUACCGUAUACGUCCUUCGGGAGAUAGAUUUAUCGGAGAUGGAUGAGCCCGCGUUGGAUUAGCUAGUUGGUGGGGUAAAGGCCUACCAAGGAGACGAUCCAUAGCUGGUCUGAGAGGAUGAUCAGCCACACUGGGACUGAGACACGGCCCAGACUCCUACGGGAGGCAGCAGUGGGGAAUAUUGGACAAUGGGCGCAAGCCUGAUCCAGCCAUGCCGCGUGAGUGAUGAAGGCCCUAGGGUUGUAAAGCUCUUUCACCGGUGAAGAUAAUGACGGUAACCGGAGAAGAAGCCCCGGCUAACUUCGUGCCAGCCGCCGCGGUAACAC
rnacentral:rRNA from 1 species